rnacentral:lncRNA from 1 species
AUAUUGGCCUCAUUAAAUUAGUUGAGAAGUAUUCUAUUUUGGGAGGUUAUAAUUACCAUUUGCAGAACUUGCUUUCAACCUGAAGAAUUUUUGAUAUAUGUCUUUAAGGCAGAGCAGUAAGAAAGAGUAUGUCUCAGUUUCUCUUUAUUGAAUCAUGUGUUUAUUUCACCUUCAUUUUUGAAAGAGAGCUUUGAUGAGUAUAGGACACUUGAUUGACAGUUUUUGUUGUUGCUGGCUUUUUUGAGUAUUUUGAAUAUGUUAAAAUAGUUUGCCUCCUAGCUUCUGUUAAUUUUUCUGAAAUGUCAGCUUCUGUCUUACUGGGAGUUUCUUGUAAGUUAUAUGCCAUUUUCUCUUGCUACUUUCAACAGUUUUUUUCUUUUCUUUGACUUUCAGCAUUUUUAUUAUGAAGUGUGUGUUUUUGUCUCUAUGUUUACAUUUCAAAUCUACUGUUACACCCUUUUACUAAAUGUUAUACAUUUCAGUUAUUGUAUUUUUU